GUCUCUUCUCAACCCACUUUCUUCCUCUUUUGCUUCUUUUUCUCUUUCGCUUCUUUUCCCACCAUCUUCAAAUUUUUCCCAGAAUUCCUUCGUAGAAAAUAAUCAUAGCUCUCUUUUUUUCAAUUCUCUAACCACGUUUACAUUUUUCCCCGAAUCACAACAAUAUAGGUUCUCGAAAAGGAAAACAAUUAAAUACAUAAUUCUGUGCUUUCCGUAAGUGAAUCCAUUUCCUUUUCGAUAAUGGAAGAAUAAAAUUAUGCUGCCGGUCUCAGACGAUGUGCCGGAGCGGAGGUUGUGAGAACAUCGGAGGCUACGGUGAUGAUGUUGGUUUCCUGCUCUUUUUCGUCUGCAUUUUUCACUUUAGUUUGUAAAAGGUCUCGGGUAUACUUGUUUAUGUAUAUUUUCUAUAACAUAUUUUAUACAUAAUUUUUUUUAUAUUAUGUGUAAAAAGAAGUUUUAAGAACAUGGUUUUUACACUUUAUAUAUUUUUAUAUUUUUUUAUAUUAUGUGUCGAGGAAAUUUCUGCACAAAAAUAGUUAUGGAAAAGUGUAAAGCAAAAACCAAUCUUACUUGCAGGAUGAAUUUUCCACGGAAUAUGAACAAAAACUGAAGGAUGUCAAGGAAUUAUUGAAAUCAGAGGAAUUAGAAAAUCAAAUAGAAAGCCUAAUGUUGGUGGAUGCUAUCUAGCGUCUAAGUGUUGACUACCAUUUUCAGGAAGAGAUUGAAUCAGUUCUUCGGUGACAUUAUAAGGAAGCCACUUCUUUUGAUGGAUACACUCUUCAUGAUCUUUCACUUUUCUUCAGACUCUUGAGAGAACAUGAUUUUUACAUUCCCGCAGGUUGAGCUUUUUCCCCCUCUUU
rnacentral:lncRNA from 1 species